rnacentral:lncRNA from 1 species
UUUAGCACUAUCAUUUAAUGUAUACUUAUCUCCAUUAGUCAUCUAUGAUACUAUGUUUAAAUCGUUUAUGUUUUGCCAUCGCGGCCUCCUACCCUAGUGACAAGUUCAGCUCUUUCUUUAUCUCGUACAUUUUUUUAUGAGUCGCUCCUUUGGAUACACAUGAUGCUCCUCAAGUUUUGUUAACAAAAACAUGAGAUGACACACUUGACAUGUGGAUUCAUUUGUCAGCCUAUAGUUUUUCUAUUUUCUUUCUUCUCUCUCCUUAGUCGGUUCUUCCUACUCCCGAUCCAUGUGCAGAGGGUGGUGACCUCCUCCUCUCCCCUCGCGGCCGAGCUCGUCCCAAUAUUCUACAAGACGCUCGCCUAGGCGUGCUUAUGCGCUAGGCGGAGGGGCAUCGCCUCGCCCAAGGGGAUAGGUGGACCACGUGUCCCAAAUCCAUGGCUGCCAGUUAGGGGGGGAGGGGGAUGACAGGUGGCGGCAGAGGCGGCGAGCGUGCUAGGAGGAGGCCAGCGGCGGGUGCCUCCAGGAAGAAGGCGCACUGCGAGCGCAAUUGGGGAUAGCGAGCAGAGGAUGGGAAGAGGGCGAGGCAGAGGCGAUGGGCACAAGGUAGCAUAGGCAACAGGGUGUGGACUGGAGGAGAUAGAGGCAAUGCCGACGGGCUAGGAACGCGGACGAGAGGAGAAAUGGGCAUGAGGUUCGAUGGAGGCCGAGAGGAUAAUGUGUAGUAGAUAAGGCGGACGAAGCUUUUUUUAAUUUUUAUAUUAAUCUUUCUGUACAACUUUAAAUCCAAUUUUUUUUAUAUGAUAAUAAUAUACGGUAGAUGCAUAUAUAUGACAGGCGUGAUUAGUACGAUGCAUUGGCUCAGCCUGGACACGGGGGUGCAGCAUCUUUGCCUUUUCUUUGUGUUUGGUUGGCUGCUCUUCUCUUUCAGCCUGGUCAAGCUCGUGCAGAUGAGGCCCCAUGGCCAGGCUCGCUGGAAACGCAGAUGGCCUGCGUUCCUGAAGAGGCAGGCUCGGCCGAGACAGCUCAGGUGGGCCAAACUGAAGACGAAGGUCUCCGAGAAGAGAGAAAGCAAAAGUCCAAACAGAAAACCAAUCAUAUGCUUGUUCUAGCUUCCCUCCCCUGUCCUGGUGUGGGAGGAUAUUGAGAGCCACGCGAUAGCAUCCUCACUUGACCCGGAAGAUACUUAGCUUUCCUCCCCUGUUCCGGUUUUUGUUUGUUUUCUUUUUCUCUUGCCGGAUCCAGAGGGUCUGGUAGCAUGUACAGUUUCUUUCCGCUAAUCGAAUGACGGAAAAGAACAGUCUUUUCCUAAAAAACAUGAUUGGGAUAGACUGCAUGAGCUCAAACAAGGUACCAAACAAGGCCGUGGUGCAUGCUGCG